rnacentral:rRNA from 1 species
UACGUAGGGUGCAAGCGUUAAUCGGAAUUACUGGGCGUAAAGCGUGCGCAGGCGGUUCGUUGUGUCGGCGGUGAAAGCCCCGGGCUCAACCUGGGAAUGGCCGUUGAAACUGGCGAACUGGAGUGUGGCAGAGGGGGGUGGAAUUCCGCGUGUAGCAGUGAAAUGCGUAGAGAUGUGGAGGAACACCGAUGGCGAAGGCAGGCCUC